AUUGAACGCUGGCGGCAGGCCUAACACAUGCAAGUCGAGCGAGCGGCGGACGGGUGAGUGAUGUGUGUGGGACUGCCCGAGAGGGGGGGAGAACUACAGGAGACGGUGUAUCAUACCGCGUACGGUCGGAUAUAUGCCGAUGGGAUUAGCUAGUAGGUAAGGUAAUGGCUUACCCAGGCGACGAUCCCUAGCUGGUCUGAGAGGAUGAUCAGCCACACUGGGACUGAGACACGGUCCAGACUCCUACGGGAGGCAGCAGUGGGGAAUAUUGCACAAUGGGCGCAAGCCUGAUGCAGCCAUGCCGCGUGUAUGAAGAAGGCCUUCGGGUUGUAAAGUACUUUCAGCGGGGAGGCGUUACCGGCAGAAGAAGCACCGGCUAACUCCGUGCCAGCAGCCGCGGUAAUUC
rnacentral:rRNA from 1 species